AACAUGAGGUCUCUUUGCACCAUUUUCUUCUGUAGAUGUCUGAGCAAAAUGGCCGGUUGGAAGCACGUUCACUCAACCCAGCUGUUUUUUCCCAGUGGCUUCCACAGCCCCAUCUGGAGUCACAGCCACAAUGAUCGCCCUCAUCCAUGAAAUGGAAUCAGAAGCUUGAUGGAGACCCAUUUCAGCCCAGCCUUUCCUCCAGCUCACAGUACUCACUAAGUGUCCAGGCAUUGAUGCCCACUGCACAGAGAGGUCAUGGGGAUAGAAGUGCUCAGAAGGAUGCCCAGCACAUAGUAGGUAGCUUAGUAGGAACAGUAUAAGGAUUACAUGCUCAGACUGCAGAGUUUGCCCAGGCCUAGCCUCAAAUCCUGGCUCCUCCAGCACACUUUUUGACUUCGCCUCCCAGACUCAGCCUAAAGUGCUCACCCUGGAGAGGCAACAUGGGCGGCAUUCUGGGGGCUUAGCAGAAUGGAAGCCCACACUGGAGCAGAGCCGGUUACUGAUGGAGUGAGAUUCUUAUGAUCUGAAAAAUGGAGAAAAGCUCUCUGCAAAACUGAAGCUGCAAAGUUAUGAAGAUGGAAAUGUUAUCCACAGGAGCAAGCCUAACCUGGCCCUGUGGAGUGUCACAACUCUGUGAGGGAAUGGCCACAUACCCUGCCACUAGGUUAACUUUCCAAAGUCCCCAGCAGCGUCUCAUCCCUUGCCCAGUGGGGAUUAGAGGUAGGGUGGCCAGCACUCACAAAAUGAGAAAAUCAAAGGUCCCUUUAGCAAUGGCGUGAGCACAGGGCUUAAAGGAGCCAAACAGUGGGCAGCCUCAGCCUAUGGCCCAUAUUCAGAUACUCCAAUUUCUGUAUGGGGGAUAGACCAAAGCGUCCAA